CACAUGUGGCCAGGGGUUAGUGCUCUGCAGGGCACAGGCCUCAUAGCUACCUCUGAUUGCAAGAGUGGCCACAGAUGGCCGCGGCCAGAGCAUUUGUGACAGAGACAGUGAAAACCACCAACCCCUGCUGGUGUGUGCGAAUGAGUUCUUUCCUAAUCAGCGAUCGAUGGACCGAAGGCCACUGUGUCUGUACUUCUCAAAGCCCCAAGCUGUGGGCUCCACCAUGGGGGGCAAGAGGCGCCCAGCCCAGAGGACUGAAGGCCACCAGCCUCGUGGGGAAGGGGAUAUCCGGUGGAGUUGAGGGCGGAGGAGUCCCCAUGGAGCAUGCACGGGCCAAGAAGAGAAUUUUAAAAGGUGUUCCUGGAAUAUUCCACCUCUAAGGACUCGGUGAGCUCAGAGAGGAGGCCAGUUACAAAGAGAGGGGGCGUGAGAGGGCUUCGUCUUUGGAAAGGAAACAGAAGGCAGUCAGCGGUCCAGGCUUUGGACACAGAGCCCAGAAACUGCAGGAGGAGUCAGAUCAGCUGAGAGAACCGGGUUUGAUCUUGCAGGCUGAACAGGAGCAGCAGGGGACAGGCCAGCAGAGGAGUGGAGGACAGCGGCUGCUUCCAGGGCAGUGUCCCUGAGGCCGCGCUUACAGAGGACAGCCAGGCCAGCUCAGGGAACUGGCUGACGGUUCGUGACUCAGUGGUGGGUGAGGGGCAGCCAGGAGAGCAAGCAGAGCAGGGGCUGUGUGUGCUCCCAUGUCCCCACCAGCAGGUGGAGAGGGUGGAGAUUUAAUCCAGCUAUGGCAUUUGGAGGUGGGACCCCUUGGGAGGGAAGAUUAAGUGAGGCCACCCGGGUGGGUCCCUGGUCUAGUGGUCCUGUAGCUUUAUAGGAGGAGAGACCUGAGCUAGAUGUGCUAUUUCCCUGUGUGAUGUCCUGUGCCACACUGGGACUUUGAAGAGUCCCCACCAAUGAGAAGGCCUUCACCCGAAAUGCCACCUGAUCUUGAACUUCACAGCCUGCAGAACCAUAAGUAGGAUAAACCUUUAUUCUUUAUAAAUUACCCAGCCUGUGGUAUUCAGUUAUAGCAACAGAGAAAGGGCUAAGACAGGCUGCUAUAGAACGUGGUAGGGGAAGUUUGUGCAUCACAAUACUCUGACUGGAAACCUGGAAGUUUCCAAGUGAGGUCUUCCAGAGCCCAGCAAGACCAGGAGAAACACACAGGCCCCUCCAGGUAAGAUGGGGAGCAGCCUCAGCCUCUCCCCACAUGCUGACAAAAGAGCACUGGAAAAGCCAGAGAGAGAAGGAGCUGGACAACCUUCCUGGAAGGGCCAAGUCCAGGCCCCAGCACUCCCCAGGCCUUGCCCCUCCCCCUAGGCUGAAGCCUGAAGCCCUUUGCUCAGCCGUAUAAGAGUUCCACCCACUCACAGUGGCCAAUUGCAGGUGCCUGGCCUUUGACCUUGGCCCGGGACAACAACAUUUCUUUUCUUUGGAGCACGUGGGCUCCAGAAGCUGAGACUACCAUUCAGCCACCUUUCACCAUCUUACCUAACCUUAUAAAAACCAUUCAAAAAGGGACCAUAUUUACCCACUUCACAGGAAGGGAUGAGGAAACAGAGGUUCAGGGAGAAGGGCCCCUGUGUAGCAAGACAGGCUUGGCGAUGCUGCUGUAACAAACAGCUCUGAAAUCUCAAUAGUUUGCUUCUCCCACCUGGCCCAUGUCUCCCGCCCCUGCAAUCUGCUGGUACUGGGGCUUCAGGCCAGUUAACCAGUCUGGGCCAGUGGUCUUCCAAGAUGGCAGAUGGCAGCCUGGGAACGCAACUGGAAGUCCCAUGAGCCCUACCCAGUUAGGAAGUGGGGGCAAGAUUUUAGCUCUGGAGCCUAACAUCACAGUUCUUGCUUGGACUUCUGCAGUGUACAGCUUCUUCUCCCCCAAACAACUGCGAAAACACCUUGCAAGCUGCAUGGGUGAGACGCACACCGUGGGUGUCAACACCCUGACCCCUGUUACUUCUCCACCCAGGCCCAGGCAAAGAGGGCUCUUCUAAGCAGGGACAAUCAGGUCACAUAGCCCCAACCCUUGGCUUGCAUGCUGGGUCCCUGCUGAGUCCCAUGACCUCCUCCAUUGCCCUCAGGUUCGCUCAGGUGCCUCCCACAGAGAUUCCUUCUCAUUCCAGCGGAAUCUGGAUGAAUCUGGAGCCGCCUGCAAUCCUGGCUGGCAGCUAACAGCCCUGCUAAUCUGUUAAUUAUCUGCUUCUAGCUGAGGAGCCUGUUCACUGAAAACUCAGCCCCUCCUUGAAGGGCUCACCUGCCUCUGGCUGUCUCUGCUGGCUUGGGCGUAGUCCCAGCAUGCUCCUGAGCCCUGCACCCUGGGUCUCAGGGUCACUGUGGACAGAGGCGUUCAAGGCCACCUCCUGCAGAGCUCACCUCCUGCAGGUGUGAGGAUGGGGCGUCACCUCCACCCACAGCUGAGACACCUCUGCCCGCUCUGCUGUGGGAGGCAGGAGCAAUUGCCUCAGAAAUUAUUGGGGAGGUGGCAGCCGUGGGAGGAGGACACAGGGAGCAGAUUUCUAAAGGCCUGCUGGGGGGCUGGUCCGAGGCCCACUGCCUGGAGGGGCUGCUGGGAGUCUAGGAAGGGCCCCCCUCCAAAGGUUCGGCCUCAAGCCCUCGAGGUUCAACCCUCCUGGAGGACUUCCUGAUCGCAGCAUUCUGAGGCUGGAGACACCAGGGCUCCAGGGGACCCCUGCCCUCCCUUGUCCCUCCUCUCCUGGUGUGUCGUCUGGCUGGCCAGGCACAGAUACAGAAUGGCAGUGUCAAAAACGCUGAUGAGUGAACAAAGCAAACUUGAGGAAAAGGGUAUACACCGUGAUCCCAUUUUUCUAAUAAAACUCAUGAGUGGUGUGUGUG
rnacentral:lncRNA from 1 species